rnacentral:misc_RNA from 1 species
UUUCCGUAGGUGAACCUGCGGAAGGAUCAUUACCAAGUCAGUGUAUUGCAGCCGUCACCCCGCCUCCUUGCACACAUAAGCCCUAAUGCGUAGCACGUCCGUGUUCCCGCUUUAGUGUGCUUGGGGGAGCCGCUUUUUUCGCGUCCCCCACAGGUCCUCCUUCUGGGUCAUCACAUUGACGCUGGUAUGGUUGACAGAGUUUAUAAUAACAAUAAAAAAACACAACUCUUAAUUCUGGAUCUCUUGGCUAUUGCAUCGAUGAGGAACGCAGCAGAUCGG